UGGAAUUGCAGAACAGAGAGCAGAAUGGUCGGGUUGAUGAUUUAUCAGCUUCUAAGGUAAAGGGGGAACUACAUAAGUGUUUGAAUGGGCCUGUUACAGUUGCUACGGUCUUGUUGCCUCGUGGUUUAAUCAAUUCAGGGAAUCUGUGCUUUCUCAACGCAACGCUACAGGCUCUUCUAUCCUGUUCUCCUUUUGUUCAGCUUCUGCAGGAAUUGAGAACUCGCGAAGUGCCUAAGAUUGGGUGCAUUUGCAGAGUUCGUCUCUGAAUUUGACAUGCCUAGUGGUUCAAGUUCAAAGAACAAAGAUGCAGGUGUUCUUGAGACUGGUAGGCCUUUUAGCCCUGCCAUGUUUGAAGGCGUUCUUUAAAUUUUUACUCCAGAUGUACGAACUAGCAUCUCAGGCAGGCCAAGGUUAGGAGUAUCAGUCUUCGUAGAGAAGGUGCUGACAUUCAUGUAGAUGUUGGUUUGUGUACCACUCAGGCUGGAUUAGCUCUUGGAGAGUUGCGAAAGGAAAAUAAUUCCUAAGAAGCCUUUGGCCAGUAACUAAUCCACCUUCAAGUCAAGAACAUCUUUUACAUCCUCAACUUUUACAGAAGCCUCUCCGCCCAUUCCUUGCUCGAGGGUAUUUUGACGAUGUAGGAGUGUAAAAUGUGAUUCCAUUAAGGACGUCGUGUCCUUUUUGUAAUAUGUUGUAGAUUAUGAAUAUAUAGUGGGAAUGUGGAGUUUUUGUAUUGCC